UCUGCCUGGUAGUGGGGGACGAACGUUUCGAAAGGAACGCUAAUACCGCAUACGUCCUACGGGAGAAAGCAGGGGGACCUUCGGGCCUUGCGCUAUCAGAUGAGCCUAGGUCGGAUUAGCUAGUUGGUGAGGUAAUGGCUCACCAAGGCGACGAUCCGUAACUGGUCUGAGAGGAUGAUCAGUCACACUGGAACUGAGACACGGUCCAGACUCCUACGGGAGGCAGCAGAC
rnacentral:rRNA from 1 species